AUUGAACGCUGGCGGCAGGCUUAACACAUGCAAGUCGAACGGUAACAGGGAGAAGCUUGCUUUUCCGCUGACGAGUGGCGCACGGGUGCGUAUCGCGUAUACAAUCUACCUUUUACAGAGGGAUAGCCCAGAGAAAUUUGGAUUAACACCUCAUGGUAUUGAGAAUUGGCAUCAAUUUUCAAUUAAAACUCCGGUGGUAAGAGAUGAGUAUGCGUUCUAUUAGCUAGUAGGUAGGGUAACGGCUUACCUAGGCAACGAUAGAUAGGGGCCCUGAGAGGGGGAUCCCCCACGCUGGUACUGAGACACGGACCAG
rnacentral:rRNA from 1 species